GACGCCAGGACAGCGGAGUCAAUCACCACCUUCCGGAGACACCUGAAACCCCACCUCUUUAAGGAAUACCUAGGAUAGGAUAAAGUAAUCCUUCUCACCCCCCCCCCCCCUUAAAAGAUUUAGAUGCACUAUUGUAAAGUGGCUGUUCCACUGGAUGUCAUAAGGUGAAUGCACCAAUUUGUAAGUCGCUCUGGAUAAGAGCGUCUGCUAAAUGACUUAAAUGUUAAAAAAAUGUUAAUGUUAAAUGUGUGUGUGUGUGUGUUUAUCUACAUCUGCCACACUGUCAUGGAUACUGGAUAACUGGCUAUGUCUGAGGCCCAAACAGUGUGGUGAGUGUGUCUGUAGGCUGUAUUUUCUUUGUUUCUAUGACUGUCCUUUUGUUGCCUGUCAACCAGUAAGACUUUACUAAAUUAAACCAGAGGAACGUACUGUCUGACUGUGCUUCUGUCUCUCAGGUGAGCUGAUCCAGUGACUGCAAGAUCUUUGUUUUGGACCUUCAGAAUAGUCCUUGUGAGAUGCUGGGGUGAUCCUCCCUGAGUGCAGUCCGCUGAUUGAUUAGUCUAACAGCAGGAGGCAGUAUGAGCUCUAACGGUACUAACCAGAUGGAUAGUGUGAAAUUGGGUCUGCAGGGGGAGUUUGAUAGCAGAUUGUGUGGAGCGGGAGCUGCAGGUGUAGGAAAUGGGAUUUGGGGAUGGAAAUCAGCAGGAUUUUAGCUCACAAAACACACACACACCACUGCUCUGUGCUCAGACAAGACCAAGGAGACGAAGCAGGAGCACAUGGUAGGUGCUACGGCAUCUGAUGGCACCGUGAAGCUGUGGCACCCCUUCCAGAGAGUCCUUCCAACCAGAGGGGCACUGUUACUGCUCUGUGCUGCUCUGAGUGGCUAUAUGGAAACACAACACUUUAGUUGGCCACAAAAAGGUGUCUGACAGUAGUGUAAAAGUGAUCGGCUCCAUGCCUGAUGAUUAGGUAUCUGUGGUCCGCAGGAGGUUGGAGUGGAAUCUUUAGCACAAUGCUGCAAGUCUGUUGGCGUCCACAUACUCAGUGCCCUCCCCAGUGACGCACCUGUACUACUGCCCUAUCCUGCUGGGAACCCGUGAGGGUGGAAAUAUCAUCAGUGUCCUCAUUGACCCUGAUGCUGAUAGAGAAAUGAUCAAGUAAAGCACAUGAUCAAGCACAAUGAUCAAUUGGAAGGAUGACAUGUGAAUUCUUGGAAUGUGGCCAACGAUGAAAAAAGAACUUGGUUGGUAGAUGAGAGGAAAGGACAGGUUGUGCUUGGCGUCUUGUAUUUCAUGUUUACAGGGCUCUCAAGUGGCGCAGCGAUCUAAGGCACUGCAUCUUAGUGCAAGAGGUGUCCAUACAGACCUUGGUUUGAAUCCAGGCUGUAUCACAUCCGGCUGUGAUUUGGAGUCCCAUAGGGCGGCGCUCAAUUGGCCCAGCGUCUUCCGGGUUUGGCCUGGGCAGGCCGUCAAUAGUUAGCGGUGUGGGAGAUUCCAAGGGGAAAAUGUGGUUCGACCAGCCACCAAAUGUCAACUCCUAGAGCAGCAGGAAACCUGUAAGAUGUCUCCCUUUUGAAACUGGUGUCUUUUUUCCAACGGUGAUGGUUUUGAUGGAUAUUCUCUAGGCACACAGUGAUAGGAUCAGUGUCCUGCGACUCACGGUCAUCUCAGUGUCCCAUGACAGAACUGUCAAAAUGUGGGACAAACACCAAGAACGGGUGCAUGUAAUUCUAAUUCUUCAGUUUCCACACAUUUAAAUAAUUUGAUCAAUAAUGGAUGAGUAGUCACCGCAAUGCACUGUUUGUGUAUGUAUUUAUGCUUACACGCUAUCUCUCUACAGGUGGGUGUGUUUGCGUGUGUGGGUCCUGUUCUAGUCUUGAAGGUCAACCCGCACUGCGCCAGUGAACUGGUGUGUGGCGAUGAACUGAGCCAGCUCUACUUCCUCUCCUGGUGGGAAUAACCGGCUCAGUGUACACAGACAUUGUAUACACAUCCAUGCAAUCAUAAUUAACGUACUCUCCCACAGAUACAGUAUAUUAGUACUACUGUACGUUCAUGUAUAUUCUCACAUGCAGCUCAGUCAACACCACUCAAUAUCUUCUGCACACUAUCUGAUAUGGAUACACUUUAUAUAUAAGACCUCUACUUAUGUAGCCUUGUCAGUGGAUAUAGAAGGACUGGCUCAUUGUAAUGGCUGGAUGGAAUAAAUGGAAUGGUAUCAAACAUAUGGAAACCACAUGUUUGACUCAGUUUCAUGUAUUGCAUUCCAGCCAUUACAAUGAGCCCGUCCUCCUAUAGCUCCUCCCACCAGCCUCCACUGGCCUAUGUGCCUUAAAAACCCUAAGCGAAGAACCUCAAUGUAAAUCAGGUAUAAUGCAUGUAGCCUAGUAUGCAAGUUACUAUAAAUAUAUAUAUAUAUAUAUA